CAUUACAAAUGUUAGGGGUGCCCUACACGGCUCCCAAGCAAACACAUGCCUGUGUAUUCCUCCAUGUUGCUUCCCCAGGCAAGGCGUCUGGGGAAGGGCCCAUUAUCAAAACCCUUUUCAAACUAGUCAUUUGAGAUGGCCAUUGGCCUGAAUCUUUAAACAUUUUAAAACUUUCAACAACGGAUCUCUUGGCUCUCGCAUCGAUGAAGAACGCAGCGAAAUGCGAUAAGUAAUGUGAAUUGCAGAAUUCAGUGAAUCAUCGAAUCUUUGAACGCACAUUGCGCCCUUUGGCAUUCCUCAGGGCAUGCCUGUUCGAGCGUCACUAACAACCAUCUCACAUCUAAUGUGGUAUUGACUGAGGUGGAUGGCACCCCCUGUGCUGACCCCACCCCAGUUCGAAUGGAUAGGCCAGAGAAGUCAACCAUGGCAACAGACUUACAGAGUAUUUCAUAAUGCUAGAUCAGUUUGUAGCCGGUAGCAAUCUGUGCCACUGGACCCCCCGUUCACCCAAACCCAACAUGUUGACCUCGGAUCAGGUAGGGAUACCCGCUGAACUUAAGCAUAU
rnacentral:misc_RNA from 1 species